GGGAGGGCAGGGGGGGCUCAGCCAAGGCGUGAGAGCAAGUUUGUGCCUGCUGUUGCAGCACUUUUCAAAUGCUUGCAGGCAGAUUUGACAAGAGGUAGCGAUGUGUGCAGCCCAGCUGGAAACACGGAGGAAGGCUGAGAUGCACACACAGAUGGGAAAUGACCCCGUGCAGUCGCUUGAACAAAUACCGGCAAGAACGGAUGGGCUUUCCCCUCUCCCACAAAGCCCCUCCUUCCUCUCCCUGCAGCACCCAGGGCAAAGAGGGUUUUUCUCAGGCAGCCUUCGCUGGAGGGAGAGCAGCAGCCUCUGCACUCUGUGCUCGCGGAUUACACACUCCUUUAUUCACAGGGCUGGUGCGGGGCACUGGGAGUAAGAUUGCAAGAUGGGGCACGGGUGCCUGAGGAGGAAAGGACUGCUCCRRUGUUUGGCYCUAUCUUUUCCAGACAGAGGGUCAUCUCUCCUGCAAGGAAGGACCAAGAGAGCUGGGACUCUUCAGCCUGGAGUCGAGAAGGCUGAGGGGGGAUCUUAUCAAUGUGUUUAAAUAUCUGAAGGGAGGGUGUCGAGAGGAUGGGGCCAGGCUCUUUUCAGUGCUGCCCAGUGCCUGGACAAGAGGCAACGGGCACAAAGUGGAUUACAAGAAGUUGCAUCUGAAUCGAAGAAAAACUUUUCUUCCUGUGAGGUGACGGAGCACUGGAUCAGGCUGCCCAGAGAGGUUGUGGAGUCUCCAUCCUUGGAGACAUUCAAAAGCUGUCUGGACGGGGGGGCCGUGGGGGAAAAGCAGGAGGCCCGGGGGGCACCGCCGGGCAAACCUGCGGCUCUGUGGGGCACAGAGCUGCGAAAACGGAGGCUCCCGGGACGCCCAGAGCCAAACGGAGGUGCCCAGGGCACGCCAAAAAGAGGACGGAGCACCCGGGAGGGCACGAAAACACACGUGUGCACAUGGCGGGCACUAAAGGGCAGCUGUAGGGCCCCAGGGAGACCCAAAAACCAAGCGCAGAGCUCGGGGGGGCGCCGAAACCAAACCGAGGGGCCUGGGGGACACCAAAGCCGCAAAGGCAGCCGCAGCCGUUGGGAGGGGGGAGAGCAGAAAAUGGCGGCUCUGGGGGCAGGGCCGGGGCCCUCGGGGGCGUGUCCUGCGGAGGGGGAGAACUGCCCCAACCCUGCUCACCAGAGGGUGCGGGCGUCCCGCCUCUGCGCAGCCCCGCAGCGCUGAUUGGAGGGGCCGUGGGGGAGCCGUGAUUGGCUGUGAGGAGGGCCCGUGGGGGAGCCGUGCGSUGAUUGGCCAGCAGGCGGGGCUGUGGGGGCCAGGCCCAGGCGCUGGCGGGCAGCGGCGUGGGGCAGCGGGGCUGGCGAGCUGCUGGCGGCGCCUCGUGCCCCGGCAGCGCGGGGACCCCCGUGCCGGCCCCGGCCCUGGCAGCGCCAUGGAGCAGAGGGGAGGGGAGGGGAGG
rnacentral:lncRNA from 1 species